GAUGAACGCUGGCGGCGUGCCUAAUACAUGCAAGUCGAGCGAAUGGAUUAAGAGCUUGCUCUUAUGAAGUUAGCGGCGGACGGGUGAGUAACACGUGGGUAACCUGCCCAUAAGACUGGGAUAACUCCGGGAAACCGGGGCUAAUACCGGAUAACAUUUUGAACCGCAUGGUUCGAAAUUGAAAGGCGGCUUCGGCUGUCACUUAUGGAUGGACCCGCGUCGCAUUAGCUAGUUGGUGAGGUAACGACUCACCAAGGCAACGAUGCGUAGCCGACGUGGGAGGGUGAUCGGCCACACUGGGACUGAGACACGGCCCAGACUCCUACGGGAGGCAGCAGUAGGGAAUCUUCCGCAAUGGACGAAAGUCUGACGGAGCAACGCCGCGUGAGUGAGGAAGGCUUUCGGGUCGUAAAACUCUGUUGUUAGGGAAGAACAAGUGCUAGUUGAAUAAGCUGGCACCUUGACGGUACCUAACCAGAAAGCCACGGCUAACUACGUGCCAGCCGCCGCAGUAA
rnacentral:rRNA from 1 species